rfam:Pontibacillus marinus BH030004 = DSM 16465 strain BH030004 contig4, whole genome shotgun sequence.
AGGUAAUGUCUCCUAACCUCUAUCAAUGGGGGCACUCGAUCCCGCUGUGGGUGCAGCUAAAGCUGGACACCUUAGACGCCUGUCGUCGGUGGUGGGAUGUGAGGAGGGGUUAGAUGCCCU